UUAAAGGAAGUUGACGGGGACCCGCACAAGCGGUGGAUGAUGUGGUUUAAUUCGAUGCAACGCGAAAACCUUACCCACCUUUGACAUGUACGGAACCCUUUAGAGAUAGAGGGGUGCUCGAAAGAGAGCCGUAACACAGGUGCUGCAUGGCUGUCGUCAGCUCGUGUCGUGAGAUGUUGGGUUAAGUCCCGCAACGAGCGCAACCCUUGUCAUUAGUUGCUACAUUCAGUUGGGCACUCUAAUGAGACUGCCGGUGACAAGCCGGAGGAAGGUGGGGAUGACGUCAAGUCCUCAUGGCCCUUAUAGGUGGGGCUACACACGUCAUACAAUGGCUGGUACAAAGGGUUGCCAACCCGCGAGGGGGAGUCAAUCCCAUAAAGCCAGUCGUAGUCCGGAUCGUAGUCUGCAACUCGACUACGUGAAGUCGGAAUCGCUAGUAAUCGUGGAUCAGAAUGUCACGGUGAAUACGUUCCCGGGUCUU
rnacentral:rRNA from 1 species